GACGGAGGGGGCUAGCGUUGUUCGGAAUUACUGGGCGUAAAGGGCGCGUAGGCGGAUUAGUAAGUUGGGAGUGAAAUCCCGGGGCUCAACCUCGGAACUGCUCUCAAAACUACUAGUCUUGAGUGAAGUAGGGGAUGAUGGAAUUUCUAGUGUAGAGGUGAAAUUCUUAGAUAUUAGAAGGAACACCGGUGGCGAAGGCG
rnacentral:rRNA from 1 species